rnacentral:rRNA from 1 species
CAGCCGCCGCGGUAAUACAGAGGGUGCAAGCGUUAAUCGGAAUUACUGGGCGUAAAGCGCGCGUAGGUGGUUCGCCAAGUUGGAUGUGAAAUCCCCGGGCUCAACCUGGGAACUGCAUCCAAAACUGGCGAGCUAGAGUAUGGUAGAGGGUGGUGGAAUUUCCUGUGUAGCGGUGAAAUGCGUAGAUAUAGGAAGGAACAUCAGUGGCGAAGGCGACUAUCUGGGCCAACACUGACACUGAGGCACGAAAGCGUGGGGAGCAAACAGGAUUAGAUACCCGAGUAGUCCCUGUCUCUUAUAA